GGUGUUGUAGCUCAGUGGAAGAGUGCCUGCCCAGCAUGUGUGAGGCACUGGGUUUGAUUCUCAGCAGUACCA
rnacentral:tRNA from 1 species